rnacentral:lncRNA from 1 species
GCAGAGGAGAGUACUUCAAAGAAUAGUUCUGUAAGUUCUUCCAAACUCUGUUUUUUGUAUGAUGAAAUUCCAUUUCAUGUGAUUCUUUUGUUUUGUUUUCUCUUUGUGCUUUAGCACCUAAGGCACCUGCGGCCAGCAACCCUGCACCAGCAGGCACCAGACCAGCAUGGGUGAGGAAGGAUCCGUCUCACACUCAAAAGCAAUUUGUCUUUGAAAAGCCAUCAGAGGUGGAGCGCAGAGUUCCUGAGGCAGGUGUGAUAGACAAGCCUGGUGUGUAUGAGCUCAGCAAAGCACCGACUGGCAUUUCUAGGGUUCAUUUGAUUCCUGGCUUUAUUG